AUACUUACCUGCAGGGGAGACACCAUGAUCAAGAAGGCGGUUCACCCAGGGCGAAAGCUCGGCCUCACGGGACCUCAGCGAAAGCAUUCCCCGGCAGCCUCCCCUAAAUGUGCUCCCCUACCUGCAUAAUUUAUGGUGGUGUGACCGGGCGCCAGCGCUUUCCCCGA